rnacentral:rRNA from 1 species
UCGGGAAUUUUGGGCAAUGGGGGAAACCCUGACCCAGCAACGCCGCGUGCAGGAUGACGGUCCUAUGGAUUGUAAACUGCUUUUGUACAGGAAGAAACAGUUCUACGUGUAGAACCUUGACGGUACUGUAAGAAUAAGGAUCGGCUAACUCCGUGCCAGCAGCCGCGGUAAUACGGAGGAUCCAAGCGUUAUCCGGAAUCAUUGGGUUUAAAGGGUCCGUAGGCGGUUAGAUAAGUCAGUGGUGAAAGCCCAUCGCUCAACGGUGGAACGGCCAUUGAUACUGUCUGACUUGAAUUAUUAGGAAGUAACUAGAAUAUGUAGUGUAGCGGUGAAAUGCUUAGAGAUUACAUGGAAUACCAAUUGCGAAGGCAGGUUACUACUAAUGGAUUGACGCUGAUGGACGAAAGCGUGGGUAGCGAACAGGAUUAGAUACCCCCGUAGUCCCUGAGCGGGCUGGCAAGGCGCAU